rnacentral:misc_RNA from 1 species
AUAUGGAAUUUACGUCUACUCGAACGUUGACCUGUUGUAGCUUCAAGAUCUGCAGAAGAAGUGAUCAAGAACAACGCUCUAAGGUCAUGUA